UUUGAUGGUGUUGCAUCUUCCAUUAAGACUCAAAUUCAACACCUACCAGCUGCAAAAGCUGAUGAUAUUGAAGAAGUCUUGGAUGUCAAAGGAAGUUAGAUCUAGACAAAGGAACCCAUAUAGAAGAUUUUUGGUAAAGUGGUUUGGUAAACCAGCAAAUGAAAGCAGGUGAAUUUCUGAAGAAGAGCUGAAACGAGUUGAUCCAACCAUAUAUGAGGAAUAUGUCAAGGUUUACUCAUUGAAGCCGACUUCUUCUCUAACCCGGGAAGAAUGAUGGAGGAGCAUCCAAAUUAAAUUAGGA
rnacentral:misc_RNA from 1 species